CCUACGGGAGGCAGCAGUGGGGAAUAUUGGGCAAUGGGCGCAAGCCUGACCCAGCAAUGCCGCGUGAAGGAAGAAGGCUUUCGGGUUGUAAACUUCUUGGACAGGGGAAGAGCAGAAGACGGUACCCUGAAAACAAGCCACGGCUAACUACGUGCCAGCAGCCGCGGUAAUACGUAGGUGGCAAGCGUUGUCCGGAUAUACUGGGUGGAAAGGGAGCGUAGCCGGGAGGGCAAGUCAGAUGUGAAAUCCGGGGGCUCAACCUGCGCAUUGCAUUUGAAACUGUUUUUUUUGAGUACUGGAGAGGCAGACGGAAUUCCUUGUGUAGCAGUGAAAUGCGUAGAUAUAAGGAGGAACAUCAGUGGCGAAGGCGGGCUGCUGGACAGCAACUGACGGUGAGGCGCGAAAGCGUGGGGAGCAAACAGGAUUAGAUACCCUAGUAGUC
rnacentral:rRNA from 1 species